rnacentral:rRNA from 1 species
UACGAAGGGUGCUAGCGUUGUUCGGAAUUACUGGGCGUAAAGCGCGCGCAGGCGGCUAUCCAAGUCAGUGGUGAAAGCCCGGAGCUCAACUCCGGAACUGCCAUUGAAACUGCUUAGCUUGAGGACGAGAGAGGUGAGUGGAAUUCCCAGUGUAGAGGUGAAAUUCGUAGAUAUUGGGAAGAACACCGGUGGCGAAGGCGGCUCACUGGCUCGUAUCUGACGCUCAGGCGCGACAGCGUGGGGAUCAAACAGG